AAACAACUAGUGGCAAUCACAAUGAUGUCUUCGUGUAGUAUACA
rnacentral:misc_RNA from 1 species